GUGUCAGCCGCCGCGGUAAUACGUAGGGUGCAGGCGUUAAUCGGAAUUACUGGGCGUAAAGCGUGCGCAGGCGGUCUUUUAAGUCAGAUGUGAAAUCCCCGGGCUUAACCUGGGAACUGCGUUUGAAACUGGAAGGCUUGAGUGUGGCAGAGGGGGGUGGAAUUCCACGUGUAGCAGUGAAAUGCGUAGAGAUGUGGAGGAACACCGAUGGCGAAGGCAGCCCCCUGGGCUAACACUGACGCUCAUGCACGAAAGCGUGGGGAGCAAACAGGAUUAGAAACCCCGGUAGUCC
rnacentral:rRNA from 1 species